AUUGAACGCUGGCGGCAGGCCUAACACAUGCAAGUCGAGCGGAGCGGCGGACGGGUGAGUAAUGUCUAGGAAUCUGCCUGGUAGUGGGGGAUAACGUCCGGAAACGGGCGCUAAUACCGCAUACUAUCAGAUGAGCCUAGGUGGGAUUAGCUAGUUGGUGGGGUAAAGGCCUACCAAGUCGACGAUCCGUAACUGGUCUGAGAGGAUGAUCAGUCACACGGGAACUGGGACACGGACCAAACUCCUACGGGAGGCAGCAGGGAGGAAUAUUGGGGAAUGGGCGAAAGCCUGAUCCAGCCAUGCCGCGAGUGUGAAGAAGGUCUUCGGAUUGUAAAGCACUUUAAGUUGGGAGGCGUUACCAACAGAAUAAGCACCGGCUAACUUCGUGCCAGCAGCCGCGGUAAUUC
rnacentral:rRNA from 1 species